rnacentral:rRNA from 1 species
CGUGCAUUAGUACUCGCGAGGAGUCAUUAAUGAAUUCUGACUGAGGUUGUAGCUGGCCCUUCACGGGGCAUGUGCACGCCUCUUUCACAAUCCACACACACCUGUGCACCUUUGCGUGAGCUUUUUGGGAACGAGGGGGAAACCCCCCUUGUAACGGGAAGGUCCCGUCCUUUUCACCAACUCCUGGAUGGCCUCCGAAUGGUCUAACUUGAUGGUAUUAAAACGCCUCCUAAUAACACUUUUCACCACCGGACUCUUGGCUCCUGCAUCGAAUAAGAACGCCACGAAAUUGCAUUAGUUAUGUGGAUUGCAGAAUUUCGUUGAUCAUCCAAUCCUUGAACGCCACUUGGCGCCCUUGGUAUUCCCGAAGGCACACCUUGUUGAGUGGUCUUGAAAUCUCCACCCUUCUCGCCUUUGUGGAAGGAGGGAAUGGACCUGGAAAGCUUUGCCCGCCUUUUGUUUCGGCUUCCUCUCAAAUGCAAUAAUACACUCCUCGUGCGAUGGUGCGCCUCGGUGUGAUAUUAUCUACGCUGUGUGUGUGGCUGCGCUCUAUAUGGGAUAGUGCGCUCACAACGUCUCGAAAACACACCGCUGAGACUCUAAGCAUAUCAUAAACCCGGAGAGAGAAA